rnacentral:ncRNA from 2 species
AAUAGAAUACUUAAAACAGGUGCUAAGUGUUUUGUACUUAGCUUAAUAGGGAAGUUGGUAAAAAGCCAACGCGGUCCCGCCACUGUAAAUGUGAGCAACCUAUAAAAAGUCACUGUCAAAUGACGGGAAGACAUAGGAAGCAAUGAGCAUGAGCCAGGAAACCUGCCUGUUUUUGACACCAACA